rnacentral:lncRNA from 1 species
UAGGCUACUUUUCCCUCCUUGGUGGCUCCGACUGUGGUAAGGCCCUAGGCCGGUCUUCCCUACCUUCAGAUUGGCGUUGAAUGAAUCUGUCGAACCGACCUCAUCUGAUGAGCUCCUCGAUCUCAUCAUGAAGCUGAAUACACUCCUCCGUGUCGUGGCCGUGGUCGCGAUGAUAAAGGCAGAACUUGUUAGGAUUGCACUUCCUGGGAUGUGUGUGCAUUCUUUUCGGCCUUGGCAGCUGCUCCCUAACCUCCAUCAACACUUGAGUUUUUGAUGUGUUGAGAGGGGUGUAG